rnacentral:rRNA from 1 species
ACGUCGUGAGACAGUUCGGUCCCUAUCUGCCGUGGGCGCUGGAGAAUUGAGGGGGGCUGCUCCUAGUACGAGAGGACCGGAGUGGACGCAUCACUGGUGUUCGGGUUGUCAUGCCAAUGGCACUGCCCGGUAGCUAAAUGCGGAAGAGAUAAGUGCUGAAAGCAUCUAAGCACGAAACUUGCCCCGAGAUGAGUUCUCCCUGAGACUUUAAGUCUCCUGAAGGAACGUUGAAGACGACGACGUUGAUAGCCGGGUGUGUAAGCGCAGCGAUGCGUUGAGCUAACCGGUACUAAUGAACCGUGAGGCUUAACCUUACAACGCCGAAG